GACGAACCGUGCGAACGUUAUUCGGAUUUAUUGGGCUUAAAGAGUGCGUAGGUGGCAGUGUAAGUCGGGGGUGAAAUACUAUCGGCUCAACCGUGGAAUUGCCUUCGAUACUGCAUUGCUUGAGGGGGAUAGGGGCAAGUGGAACUUCCGGUGGAGCGGUGAAAUGUGUUGAGAUCGGAAGGAACGCCAGUGGCGAAAGCGACUUGCUGGGUCUUCUCUGACACUGAGGCACGAAAGCUAGGGAGCAAACGGG
rnacentral:rRNA from 1 species